rnacentral:rRNA from 1 species
UCGGGAAUUUUGGGCAAUGGGCGAAAGCCUGACCCAGCAACGCCGCGUGAGGGAUGAAGUAUUUCGGUAUGUAAACCUCGAAAGAAUGGGAAGAAUAAAUGACGGUACCAUUUAUAAGCUCCGGCUAACUACGUGCCAGCAGCCGCGGUAAUACGUAGGGAGCAAGCGUUGUUCGGAUUUACUGGGCGUAAAGGGCGCGUAGGCGGCGCGGUAAGUCACUUGUGAAAUCUCUGAGCUUAACUCAGAACGGCCAAGUGAUACUGCUGUGCUAGAGUGCGGAAGAGGCAACCGGAAUUCUUGGUGUAGCGGUGAAAGGCGUAGAUAUCAAGGGGAACACCUGAGGCGAAGGCGGGUUGCUGGGCCGACACUGACGCUGAUGCGCGAAAGCCAGGGGAGCAAAC